CUUCGGGGGCAGAGUGACAGGUGGUGCAUGGUUGUCGUCAGCUCGUGUCGUGAGAUGUUGGGUUAAGUCCCGCAACGAGCGCAACCCUUGAUCUUAGUUGCCAGCAUUCAGUUGGGCACUCUAAGGUGACUGCCGGUGACAAACCGGAGGAAGGUGGGGAUGACGUCAAAUCAUCAUGCCCCUUAUGACCUGGGCUACACACGUGCUACAAUGGACGGUACAAAGAGCUGCAAGACCGCGAGGCUAAGCCAAUCCCACAAAUCUGUUCUCAGUUCGGAUCGCAGUCUGCAACUCGACUGCGUGAAGCUGGAAUCGCUAGUAAUCGCGGAUCAGCAUGCCGCGGUGAAUACGUUCCCGGGCCUUGUACACACCGCCCGUCACACCACGAGAGUUUGUAACACCCGAAGUCGGUGAGGUAACCUUUUGGAGCCAGCCGCCGAAGGUGGGACAGAUGAUUGGGGUGAAGUCGUAACAAGGUAGCCGUAUCGGAAGGUGCGGCUGGAUCACCUCCUUUCUAAGGA
rnacentral:rRNA from 1 species